AACGAACGCUGGCGGCAUGCCUAACACAUGCAAGUCGAACGAGACCUUCGGGUCUAGUGGCGCACGGGUGCGUAACGCGUGGGAACCUGCCCUUAGGUUCGGAAUAACUCCCCGGAAGGGGUGCUAAUACCGGAUAAUGUCUUCGGACCAAAGAUUUAUCGCCUUUGGAUGGGCCCGCGUUGGAUUAGCUAGUUGGUAGGGUAAAAGCCUACCGAGGCGACGAUCCAUAGCUGGUCUGAGAGGAUGAUCAGCCACACUGGGACUGAGACACGGCCCAGACUCCUACGGGAGGCAGCAGUGGGGAAUAUUGGACAAUGGGCGAAAGCCUGAUCCAGCAAUGCCGCGUGAGUGAUGAAGGCCUUAGGGUUGUAAAGCUCUUUUACCCGGGAUGAUAAUGACAGUACCGGGAGAAUAAGCUCCGGCUAACUCCGUG
rnacentral:rRNA from 1 species